GNGGAAGGAUCAUUAUUGAAUAAACUUGGUGAAGGUUGUUGCUGGUUCUUAGGAGCAAGUGCACGCCUUCCCAUUUUUACUUCUCCACCUGUGCACUUUUUGUAGUUCCUUUUUGAAACCGGAAGCAACUAUCGAGGGUAACUCGGAUAGAGGAUCUGCUGUGCUCAUAGCCAGCUAUCUUUGCACAAUUGUUUACACUGGUCUYUAAAAGGUCUACGUUUAAUACACCCCAAAUGUAUGGAAAAGAAUGUUAUUCAGGCUUUGAUGCCUAUAAAAUACAACUUUCAGCAACGGAUCUCUUGGCUCUCGCAUCGAUGAAGAACGCAGCGAAAUGCGAUAAGUAAUGUGAAUUGCAGAAUUCAGUGAAUCAUCGAAUCUUUGAACGCACCUUGCGCUCCUUAGUAUUCUGAGGAGCAUGCUUGUUUGAGUGUCAUUAAAUUCUCAACCCUUUCAAAAUUUGAAUUGGGCUGGAUGUGGGUGUUGCGGGCUUUUUCAAGUCAGCUCUCCUMAAAAAUAUUAGCGGAACUUGUUGUGAGCCGUCUACAUAGUGUGAUAAUUAUCUACGCUAUAGAUGUCACUUCAUUGAGGUUCAGCUUCUAAUAGUCCAUUUACUUGGACAGUAUCACUUGUUGAUGACCAUUUUGACCUCAAA
rnacentral:rRNA from 1 species